rnacentral:rRNA from 1 species
AUUGAACGCUGGCGGCAUGCCUUACACAUGCAAGUCGAACGGCAUCGCGGGAAAGCUUGCUUUCCUGGCGGCGAGUGGCGAACGGGUGAGUAACACAUCGGAACGUACCGGCUAGUGGGGGAUAACCCGUCGAAAGACGGGCUAAUACCGCAUACGCUCUUCGGAGGAAAGCAGGGGACCUUUGGGCCUUGCGCUAGCCGAGCGGCCGAUGUCCGAUUAGCUAGUUGGUGGGGUAAAGGCCUACCAAGGCGACGAUCGGUAGCGGGUCUGAGAGGACGAUCCGCCACACUGGGACUGAGACACGGCCCAGACUCCUACGGGAGGCAGCUGUGGGGAAUCUUGGACAAUGGGGGCAACCCUGAUCCAGCAAUGCCGCGUGGGUGAAGAAGGCCUUCGGGUUGUAAAGCCCUUUCGGCAGGGAAGAAAUCGGCGGGGCGAAUAACCCUGCUGGAUGACGGUACCUGCAGAAGAAACACCGGCUAACUACGU